rnacentral:rRNA from 1 species
AUACGGAGGACGCGAGCGUUAUCCGGAUUCUUUGGGUUUUUAGGGUGCGUAGGCGGUUUGCUAAGCGGGAGGUGAAAUGCCGGCGCUCAACGUCGGAAGUGCCUCCCGAACUGGUGGACUGGAAUGACUCUGCCGUGGGAGGAAUGUGUAGUGUAGCGGUGAAAUGCUUAGAGAUUACACAGAACACCGAUUGCGAAGGCAUCUCACGAAGGGUUGAUUGACGCUGAGGCACGAAAGCGUGGGGAUCAAACAGGAUUAGAUACCCUGGUAGUCCACACAGUAAACGAUGGACACCCGCGGUUUGGCCUAUAUGGCUGAGCCGCCAAGCGAAAGCGUUAAGUGUCCCACCUGGGGAGUACGCCGGCAACGGUGAAACUCAAAGGAAUUGACGGG